rnacentral:sRNA from 2 species
ACGUCGAUGCCUGCAUUGAUCUUCUCUUAUGCCUUCUUUUCCGCUGUUUCUCGAGGUAGAGAGAUGCAAAUAUAAAUGAAUACAACAACAUUAGGUGAUUUGCCCUGUUACCUGCUGGUCUUAUUGCUGUCACCCUCCUUUCUGGUACAUCCGGCCCUUUUCUUCUCCCAUCCGACCAGUGACUCUUUGCCGUAUAUAUAUAUAUAUACAUAUAUAUAUGUAUAUAUGUAUAUCCGAGAGGGGCACUCGCUGGCCUUUACUUUCUCCCUUUUUCUUCCAUUCUUGCUCGCGUAUAUCUUCCUGUCCCAUCCGUUUUUGUUCCUUCUGAAGACUAAAACGCCGUCCUACGACGCACUCGCAGCGCCUUCUCGUUACGCCUCUUCCAAUCUCACCGUCUCGCUCUCCGCUGCGACCGCGGUUCUGCCUCUUCCCACACAUACGAUGAAGUGCUCCUUGGACACUGAGUGCCGAAGACUAACUCUCGCUAUCUCUUCUGCCUUCCUCCUUAUCCCCUUCCCCAGCCAGCAAGUGAGUGUGCACCACUCCCUGCUGGCGGACUUGGACACCCACAUGAGUCCAUCACUAUCACAUUCCAUUGAUCCCCACUCCACGCCAUCCCUCCCUCACACUAGAGGAACUGCGCCAAACAGGAAUAUUCUGUAUGGUGUCGUGGUCUCGAUGGCUCGGAGAAGUCCCCGCUUCCGUUGAGUUGCGACGGGCUGAUCCCCGAAAACCAGCUGUGCAUGGACCUUAUCAUGCAUGGCCAAGCCUUUGCGGGGCACCAGACGGAUUACGCCGACUACCCGUGGGCAUCCCAUGAGCACCGAGGACUGUGGAGAGGCGGGCGUCCUGCACGCGUGAGAAUUCUGACGGCGGAUGGCUCAAUCACCAGGCUGCCGAGGGAGGGAGGGGGUGCAGGUGUCGGAGGAGUGCAUCCAUCGCCUCGAGGUGGCUGUCAGCCGAUUCAUGGACAACCGCCCGCGCCCGCUGCCGGGAGACGAAACGAAUGCUGGCACGGGGCGAGUGGCGGUGGGUCUGGGAAGACAUGGAUGUUGCCGUCUGUGAGGAGCUCCAUCGCGGACCGACACACCCACGGAGGAGGAUCCGCGGCCGCUCUUCCGUCUCCCUUUCUCCAUGCUCGACCUGUGGCAUGCACGCAAGGCGUCGCUGCAGGGCGGACACAGUGUGUGCCGGCUCCUUCUGGUAGCGGCAUCGGCGGCUGAGCGGACGGAUGCACGGGAGGCCGCGGUGCAAGCAACUACGGCGCUUCCGGCUGCGGACAGCCCCCAGCUCCAAUCCGUCGACGCCGUGCUCCCCGGUGCCAUGGGGAUGCCAGCGCCGCUCAGCGAUCUCCGGCCCGGAGAGCUCACUUCGGGCCGGACAGGGAGGGACUGCCGCCCCCGGGCGCCAUUUGCUGCAGGGGCGACGCGGCCUGGGCCUCUGCUGAAGGCUUAUCUUGUCCAAAUCGUCAGAAGCAGCGCGUGCACCGCAGAUAUCUACACGAUGCAAACCGCCGUUGUCGUCGUCUCGACGAUCUACGGCGUCGCAUUCAACGGGUGCGUCAUGACUCCACCAGAGACCCGCGACACUUCGUUGGCCUUGAAGAGGGCCUUCGACUGCCUCCUCACCCCAGCGUGGCUCUCUCGCGUACUCACUCUCUGCAGCGCAAGCUCCCGGGACGAGCGGACGAUGGACCCCGUGACCCUGAUGCUCGACCACGAGCAGGAGCAUGAGACAGGGACACGGUGCGAAGAGAGCAAGCACUCG